rnacentral:rRNA from 1 species
GUGCUGCAGCUAACGCAUUAAGUAAUCCGCCUGGGGAGUACGACCGCAAGGUUGAAACUCAAAAGAAUUGACGGGGGCCCGCACAAGCGGUGGAGCAUGUGGUUUAAUUCGAAGCUACGCGAAGAACCUUACCAGGUCUUGACAUCUUCUGACAGUCUAAGAGAUUAGAGGUUCCCUUCGGGGACAGAAUGACAGGUGGUGCAUGGUUGUCGUCAGCUCGUGUCGUGAGAUGUUGGGUUAAGUCCCGCAACGAGCGCAACCCUUAUUACUAGUUGCCAGCAUUAAGUUGGGCACUCUAGUGAGACUGCCGGUGACAAACCGGAGGAAGGUGGGGACGACGUCAAAUCAUCAUGCCCCUUAUGACCUGGGCUACACACGUGCUACAAUGGAUGGUACAACGAGUCGCGAGACCGCGAGGUUAAGCUAAUCUCUUAAAACCAUUCUCAGUUCGGACUGUAGGCUGCAACUCGCCUACACGAAGUCGGAAUCGCUAGUAAUCGCGGAUCAGCAUGCCGCGGUGAAUACGUUCCCGGGCCUUGUACACACCGCCCGUCACACCAUGAGAGUUUGUAACACCCAAAGCCGGUGGGGUAACCUUUUAGGAGCUAGCCGUCUAAGGUGGGACAGAUGAUUAGGGUGAA